AGUUCGGAUCGGAGUCUGCAACCCGACUCCGUGAAGCUGGAUUCGCUAGUAAUCGCGCAUCAGCCAUGGCGCGGUGAAUACGUUCCCGGGCCUUGUACACACCGCCCGUCAAGCCAUGGGAGCCGGGGGGUGCUUGAAGUGCGUCGCCGCAAGGCGCGCCCUAGAGCAAAACCGGUGACUGGGGCUAAGUCGUAACAAGGUAAC
rnacentral:rRNA from 1 species